ACUUCCCUUUUUCUUUUUUUUUUUGAACUGCUGCUCCCUCCCGCCAAUGAGCAAUGCAGCUGCUUGCUGUGGUUUCCUGCCUGCCCCCUCCACAUCCUUGCCUAUAUAAACCCUGACUCUCCCUCUCCUCCGCACUUCUGCCUUGGAUCUGAAUCCUCAACGUCAGUCGAAGGACAAGCAGACAAAAUGGUGAGUAACUGCUCGGCUGAUGACGUAGUCUGGAAAUCUCCCCUCUCUUUCUCUCUCUUUCUGCUCCAGCCUCCCUUUGUCUCUGCUAAACAUUUACAGAGUAAUCUGCCAGGCUCAUUUAAUGCUCACAAGGCCUCUGCUGUGGAUAUAAAGGUUACUGAUGCAAAAUGAGCUUUAUCCUAUUAUGUGAUAGUGGUUUGGAGCUCAUGUUUUCAACUAAACUUUUAGGUCAUGCCUUGUUGUGAAUCAGGAGGGAGAAUGUACUAGAACCGUUACACACAGCAACAAGGCCUUAUAAGUCAUUUCCAUUCUCUUGAACAAUCUAGGUCAAAUGACAGCCACUUUAUGAGUUAGUCUGCUUUAUUACUUUAUAGCUGCACAGCUUGCCAUAAAGCUGGAAAAACAUUUUCCUACAGAAGAAACAAGUUUGAUUUGUUUGUUAAUGAUUUAGAGUUAUCUAGACUCAGAGGAGUGAUCGGGGAAAUCGUGGCAGUGGGGGGAUGGACAGUAAGAACAGGGAAAAAAGAGGAGUGGUCUGGCCUGGUCCAUAUGAGUUAGUUGGCAGCCAUUUUGCAGCUGUUAGGAGUUUUGGGUUUGAGAGAAAUGUGGAGAGAGAGAGGGAGAGGGAGAGAGACAUCCCUGACUGUUACGCAGCCUUAUGCAGCUGGACAGGAUGGGGGAGGAGAGAGACAGAAAGGGAGGAGACACAGGAUGCAGAAAUGGGGGAUGGCUUUCCCAUAAACUCAAACCAUGGCCUUUUUGUCUGUUUUAGAGUUUCUUGGUUUGUAUGCUAAUCUGACGGCAUUUCCUGCCAGCUUUUGCUGCAUGUCUACCACGAAAAGCCCCAAAGUGCAGACUCUGGCUUUCAUUUAACUGCUGGCUCUGCUCAUAGGGUGUGCACUUAGAGCAGCUGAAGCUUUAAAAUUCUGCUUUAGCACACAGUGUUCUGCAGUCAAUGUUUAUUGCCAAUUUCCCCUCUGAACUACAGGCCCAUCAGAACAAUGAUUCCUGGCAGACAGGAAAUACCAAGAAAAAGCAUGAGUGCCAGAUGACUAAUAAAAAACAUGAGGAGAUGUGGCCUAUACUAGGAUUUUAUGAUAAAAUGGAUACAUGACUGAACUUCCUCAUGAGUUAUCUUAGUACACACACCAGUGUUAAUAGAUGUUGAUAGUGAGCAAAUGGCAUUGGGUCUGGCAAUUUCUGAGGCAAAUACUGAAUUAUUUAAAUGUGACAUGGCAAUUUUAGGCCGUGAGGAAAACCUUUGCAUGCUGCUCAAACAAACUCUCUUUUCUACUUCUAGCGUGAGUGUAUUUCUAUGCACGUCGGCCAAGCCGGAGCCCAGAUGGGCAAUGCCUGCUGGGAGCUGUACUGUCUGGAACAUGGGAUCCAGCCGGAUGGACAAAUGCCCAGUGAUAAGACAAUCGGAGGAGGAGACGACUCUUUCAACACUUUCUUCAGUGAGACAGGGGCAGGAAAGCAUGUACCAAGAGCCAUCUUUGUCGACCUGGAACCAACUGUUAUUGGUUAGUAUUGUGUGUACAGCAUCAAAAUAAACAUGUACCUCCAGUUGGCUUUUAUCAGUCUCCAGAGAAUUUCUAUAUAAAUUAAUAUAUAUUUUUUUAAGAUACAAACAAUGGCAUACUAAAAUCCCAAACCCAUGAACACAGUUUGCACUCCACAUUACAUCUUUUAUUUUGAUGAUAAAAGGGGUAUGAUGUUAUAUGCAGAUAAUACCCUGUUUCAAUACAGAUGGAAAUAUCAAGUUGCUGUGCUUUUGGAAAUUGAAAUAUACUGUAUGCUUCAAGACAAUGUUGUAUUUUAAACAAUUGUAGCCCAUGAGCAUUAUUCAAACCCUUUCUAAUUGUCUGUUAAAUAGAUGAGGUGCGAACAGGAACCUAUCGCCAGCUGUUCCACCCUGAGCAGCUCAUUACUGGUAAAGAAGAUGCUGCCAACAACUACGCCCGUGGACACUACACUAUUGGCAAAGAGAUCAUUGAUCUGGUUCUGGACAGGACUCGUAAACUGGUAAAAGUUUGAACAGAUUCCUUUAAAAAAGCAUAGUAUUGUGGUAUAGAAGAACAACCCACUGACCCAUUUUUAAGUAGGUCAAGAAACAGGCUUAAACAGAAUUCCUUUUUAAAAAAAAACAUAGUAUUGUGGUAAAGAAGUACAACCCACUGACCUAUUUUCAAUGAUAUCGAGAAACAGGUAAUCCUUUAAUAUAGGAGCUUGCCUGACUUGUGACCUCUCAUGAUGUUCACUCUUUAAAAUGCGCAAUGAAAAUUGGAUUUUCAGUAAUCAAAGGUUUUUCAUUUCAGGCUGACCAGUGCACUGGCCUUCAAGGAUUUCUCAUCUUCCACUCCUUUGGUGGGGGAACUGGCUCUGGUUUCACCUCCCUGCUUAUGGAGAGACUCUCUGUUGAUUAUGGCAAGAAAUCAAAACUUGAAUUUGCCGUCUACCCAGCCCCUCAGGUCUCCACCGCAGUUGUGGAGCCCUACAACUCCAUCCUGACCACCCACACCACCCUGGAACACUCCGACUGUGCCUUCAUGGUGGACAAUGAAGCCAUCUAUGACAUCUGCCGCAGGAACCUGGACAUCGAGAGGCCCACUUACACCAAUCUGAACAGGCUCAUUGGUCAGAUUGUUUCUUCAAUCACAGCCUCUCUUCGUUUUGACGGAGCCCUGAAUGUUGAUCUGACAGAGUUCCAGACCAACUUGGUGCCCUACCCUCGUAUCCACUUCCCUCUGGCCACCUACGCCCCAGUCAUCUCCGCUGAGAAAGCCUACCAUGAGCAGCUGUCUGUUGCUGACAUCACCAACACCUGCUUUGAGCCAGCCAAUCAGAUGGUGAAGUGUGAUCCUCGCCACGGUAAAUACAUGGCCUGCUGUCUGCUGUAUCGUGGUGAUGUGGUGCCAAAGGAUGUCAACUCUGCCAUUGCUGCCAUCAAGACCAAACGCACCAUCCAGUUUGUGGACUGGUGCCCCACAGGCUUCAAGGUGGGCAUCAACUAUCAGCCUCCAACCGUGGUUCCUGGAGGAGACCUGGCCAAGGUGCAGAGGGCUGUUUGCAUGUUGAGCAACACCACCGCCAUUGCUGAGGCUUGGGCCCGCCUUGACCACAAGUUUGACCUCAUGUAUGCCAAGAGAGCCUUUGUCCACUGGUAUGUUGGAGAGGGAAUGGAGGAAGGAGAGUUCUCAGAGGCCAGAGAAGAUAUGGCUGCCCUGGAGAAGGAUUAUGAAGAGGUUGGCACUGACAGCAUGGGAGAUGAGGAUGAAGAAGGAGAGGAGUACUGAAGGGCUAAAAAAUUCCUGGGCUUUGCCAUCACACAUUCCAAAAGUUGUCAUGAAAGUUACACAUUCCUUGCAACACUCUGAUAACCUGUGAUGGUAAAAUGACAGUAUUAUCAAUAAAAAGUUCUUAAGAACCUGUAAAUGAA